rnacentral:rRNA from 1 species
AUGAACGCUGGCGGCGUGCUUAACACAUGCAAGUCGAACGAGAGAAGAUCGGUGCUUGCACUGAUCCGAUCGAGUGGCGGACGGGUGAGUAACGCGUGGGUAACCUGCCUCAUACAGGGGAAUAACAGUUGGAAACGGCUGCUAAAACCGCAUAAGCGCACGGUAUCGCAUGAUACAGUGUGAAAAACUCCGGUGGUAUGAGAUGGACCCGCGUCUGAUUAGCUAGUUGGUGAGGUAACGGCCCACCAAGGCGACGAUCAGUAGCCGGCCUGAGAGGGUGAACGGCCACAUUGGGACUGAGACACGGCCCAAACUCCUACGGGAGGCAGCAGUGGGGAAUAUUGCACAAUGGGGGAAACCCUGAUGCAGCGACGCCGCGUGAGUGAUGAAGUAUUUCGGUAUGUAAAGCUCUAUCAGCAGGGAAGAUAAUGACGGUACCUGACUAAGAAGCACCGGCUAAAUACGUGCCAGCAGCCGCGGUAAUACGUAUGGUGCAAGCGUUAUCCGGAUUUACUGGGUGUAAAGGGUGCGUAGGUGGUGAGACAAGUCUGAAGUGAAAAUCCGGGGCUUAACCCCGGAACUGCUUUGGAAACUGCCUGACUAGAGUACAGGAGAGGUAAGUGGAAUUCCUAGUGUAGCGGUGAAAUGCGUAGAUAUUAGGAGGAACACCAGUGGCGAAGGCGACUUACUGGACUGAAACUGACGUUGAGGCACGAAAGUGUGGGGAGCAAACAGGAUUAGAUACCCUGGUAGUCCACACCGUAAACGAUGGAUACUAGGUGUAGGGGAUAUUAAGUCUUCUGUGCCGUCGCAAACGCAGUAAGUAUCCCACCUGGGGAGUACGGCCGCAAGGUUGAAACUCAAAGGAAUUGACGGGGGCCCGCACAAGCAGUGGAGUAUGUGGUUUAAUUCGAAGCAACGCGAAGAACCUUACCAAGGCUUGACAUAUACAGGAAUAUUUAAGAGAUUAAAUAGCUCUUCGGAGUCUGUAUACAGGUGGUGCAUGGUUGUCGUCAGCUCGUGUCGUGAGAUGUUGGGUUAAGUCCCGCAACGAGCGCAACCCCUAUUUCCAGUAGCCAGCAGUUAGAUGGGCACUCUGGAGAGACUGCCGGGGAUAACCCGGAGGAAGGUGGGGAUGACGUCAAAUCAUCAUGCCCCUUAUGAUUUGGGCUACACACGUGCUACAAUGGCAGUUACAAAGAGAAGCGAAACUGUGAAGUGGAGCAAACCUCAAAAAGGCUGUCUCAGUUCGGAUUGUAGUCUGCAACUCGACUACAUGAAGCUGGAAUCGCUAGUAAUCGCAGAUCAGAAUGCUGCGGUGAAUACGUUCCCGGGUCUUGUACACACCGCCCGUCACACCAUGGGAGUCGGAAACGCCCGAAGUCAGUGACCCAACCGCAAGGAGGGAGCUGCCGAAGGCAGGUUCGAUAACUGGGGUG